UUGAACGCUGGCGGUAUGCUUAACACAUGCAAGUCGAGCGGCAGCGAGAUUAGUAGCAAUACUAAUUGUCGGCGAGCGGCGGACGGGUGAGUAACACGUAGGAAUCUACCCAGAAGAGGGGGACAACCCGAGGAAACUCGGGGCUAAUACCGCAUAAAUUCUGAGGAAAAAAGCUGGGGCAACCUGGCGCUUUUGGAGGAGCCUGCGUCCGAUUAGCUAGUUGGUAGGGUAAAAGCCUACCAAGGCGACGAUCGGUAGCUGGUCUGAGAGGAUGAUCAGCCACACUGGGACUGAGACACGGCCCAGACUCCUACGGGAGGCAGCAGUGGGGAAUAUUGGACAAUGGGGGCAACCCUGAUCCAGCAAUACCGCGUGUGUGAAGAAGGCCUUCGGGUUGUAAAGCACUUUAGGCGGGGAAAGAAAGGUUAUUAGUUUAAGAGAUGAGUAACUUGACGGUACCCGCAGAAUAAGCACCGGCUAACUCUGUGCCAGCAGCCGCGGUAAUACAGAGGGUGCAAGCGUUAAUCGGAUUUACUGGGCGUAAGGGCGCGUAGGUGGUUACGUAAGUGAGAGGUGAAAUCCCCGGGCUUAACCUGGGAACUGCCUCUUAUACUGCGUGGCUGGAGUGAAGUAGAGGGUAGUGGAAUUUCCGGUGUAGCGGUGAAAUGCGUAGAUAUCGGAAGGAACACCAGUGGCGAAGGCGGCUACCUGGACUUUUACUGACACUGAGGCGCGAGAGCGUGGGUAGCAAACAGGAUUAGAUACCCUGGUAGUCCACGCUGUAAACGAUGAAAACUAAAUGUUAGGUAGCUUAGACUAUCUAGUAUUGAAGCUAACGCGAUAAGUUUUCCGCCUGGGGAGUACGGUCGCAAGAUUAAACUCAAAGAAAUUGACGGGGGGCCCGCACAAGCGGUGGAGCAUGUGGUUUAAUUCGAUGCAACGCGAAGAACCUUACCUACCCUUGACAUCCAGAGAAGACUGAAGAGAUUCGGUUGUGCCGAAAGGAACUCUGAGACAGGUGCUGCAUGGCUGUCGUCAGCUCGUGUUGUGAGAUGUUGGGGUUAAGUCCCGUAACGAGCGCAACCCUUAUCCUUAGUUACCAGCAUGUUAUGAUGGGGACUCUAAGGAGACUGCCGGUGAUGAACCGGAGGAAGGCGGGGACGACGUCAAGUCAUCAUGGCCUUUAUGGGUAGGGCUACACACGUGCUACAAUGGACAGUACAGAGGGCGGGCCAACUCGCGAGAGGGAGCCAAUCCCAGAAAGCUGUUCGUAGUCCGGAUCGGAGUCUGCAACUCGACUCCGUGAAGUCGGAAUCGCUAGUAAUCGCGAAUCAGAAUGUCGCGGUGAAUACGUUCCCGGGCCUUGUACACACCGCCCGUCACACCAUGGGAGUGGGUUGUACCAGAAGUAGGUAGUUUAACCGCAAGGGGAACGCUUACCACGGUAUGGUUCAUGACUGGGGUG
rnacentral:rRNA from 1 species